rnacentral:rRNA from 1 species
CCCUUAGAUGUCCGGGGCCGCACGCGCGCUACACUGAAGGAAUCAGCGUGGCUUUCUCCCUGACCCGAAAGGGUUGGGAAACCCGUUGAAUCUCCUUCGUGAUAGGGAUUGGGGCUUGAAAUUGUUCCCCAUGAACGAGGUAUUCCCAGUAAGCGCGAGUCAUAAGCUCGCGUUGAUUACGUCCCUGCCCUUUGUACACACCGCCCGUCGCUACUACCGAUUGAACGGUUUAGUGAGGGCCUCGGAUUGGUCUCGGCCCGCUCUUUACCGGGCGGCGCCGUUGGUCGAGAAGACGCUCGAACUUGAUCGUUUAGAGGAAGUAAAAGUCGUAACA